CAGCUAUCUGCCAGAAUCUGUGGGUGGAGGCGGUACCUGCAGGUUGCUGGCAGAGGCUGUAGGUGGAGGUUUGGCCGUAGCUGUCUGCCAGAAUCUGCAGGUGGAGGCGGCAGCUGCAGGUUGCUGGCAGAGGCUGUAGGUGGAGGUUUGGCAGAGGUUGCAUGUGGUGGAGGUUGGACUUUUGGCGCAUUUGUCUGCAGCUGUCUGCCAGAAUCUGCAGGUGGAGGCAGUACCUGCAGGUUGCUGGCAGAGGCUAUAGAUUGAGGCUUGGCAGAGGUUGCACAUGGUGGAGCUGGUAGAGGUUGGACUUUUGGCGCAUCUGUCUGCAGCUGUCUGCCAGAAUCUGCAGGUGGAGACGGCAGCUGCAGGAAGCUGGCAGAGGCUGUAGGUGGAGGUUUGGCCGUAGCUGUCUGCCAGAAUCUGCAGGUGGAGGCGGCAGCUGCAGGAUGAUGGCAGAGGCUGUAGGUGGAGGUUUGGCCGUAGCUGUCUGCCAGAAUCUGCAGGUGGAGGCGGCAGCUGCAGGUUGCUGGCAGAGGCUGUAGGUGGAGGUUUGGCUGUAGCUGUCUGCCACAAUCUGCAGGUGGAGGCGGUACCUGCAGGUUGCUGGCACAGGCUAUAGGUGGAGGUUUGGCAGUAGCUGUCUGCCACAAUCUGCAGGUGGAGGCGGCAGCUGCAGGUUGCUGGCAGAGGCUGUAGGUGGAGGUUUGGCCAUAGCUGUCUGCCAGAAUCUGUAGGUGGAGGCGGUACCUGCAGGUUGCUGGCAGAGGCUGUAGGUGGAGGUUUGGCCGCAGCUGUCUGCCACAAUCUGCAGGUGGAGGCGGCAGCUGCAGGUUGCUGGCAGAGGCUGUAGGUGGAGGUUUGGCUGCAGUUGUCUGCCACAAUCUGCAUGGUGGAGGCGGCAGCUGCAGGAUGAUGGCAGAGGCUGUAGGUGGAGGUUUGGCCGUAGCUGUCUGCUAGAAUCUGCAGGUGGAGGCAGUGGC